rnacentral:lncRNA from 1 species
AUGACCGUUAUUACUGGAAAAUGACAAAAUGUGUAGGGUUUAGGGAAUAUUAAUUUCAUGAUUAUGGUGCCAAUAAAAGGUUUUGGUAUUACUAUAGGGCAAAGGGUUACAGUAGUGUAAAAGGCACUUCAACGUUCAUGGCCGGCCAUGACGAAGAUCUCCCUUCUACUAUUUGCUUGCAAGUUGCAAUAAUGGCGAUCAACUCCUAUGCUCAGGAAGAACAACUAUCAAGGCAUUAGCUUUUUGGUGCUGUACGUGGGCAUGCAAUAUCCGUGGACAAGAAUAGAUCUGAUUGAGGAUUUCAUUGAGCUUUUGAAAUGACAGGAGCUAGUGCAGGCAGGGAGGUAAAAGAGUAAAACGACAGGGUUGCUGAUAAAAGAGGUUGCCUUUUUUCUUGAUGUUCAAUGAGCCUUUGGCCUUUUGUGUCCCUCAAGAACAUAAAGGGUAGCCUUUUCUUGACCUUAACAGUGGAUCAGUGAUUAAUCGGCUAGGACCGGCGGCUCCGGGGCACUGUAGAAUUUUCGCUUCCACCAUAUAUAUAUAU